rnacentral:misc_RNA from 1 species
GCACGCUGCAAAAGCACGAGAGCCAGCCCGAGAGACCGGAGUUGCCGGACCGCGCCGUUAACAUAGUAAAUGUCCGAAUAAAAUACACACUUGGAAAAAGAGAGAAAAAUUAGGGCCACUGGGAAGGCUGAAGUGUGCUAACUUGGCAAUCAUACCGAAUCGACAGCAAACGCAAUCGCCCGCAAUCCGCGCACGGAAAAUCCGAGACUCGGCGACUUAGCAGGACGAUAGAGCGACAGCGAUCCCGAAGGCAGGACGACAAAUGGCGGAGAACGGACUGCGCGUGCCAGGGUCAUCCGCGGUGGCCUCUGCGGUGGCUUCCACGGCGACGGGAGUCGGCGGUGGAUCAGCAUCGGGUUCGGCAGGGGCCGGGACAGGAGUGGUGCCCACCGGCGGCAGCGGCGGGACGAGCAACGGGGAGCAUGAGAACGAACACAAUGCCAAUGCAGACGGCGAGAAGGCCCAGCCGGCGCCGGCGGUCCAGAAGUACAUGCAGGAGCUCAUGACGGAGCGAUCGCGCAUGGAAAACCACUUCCCCCUGGCGGUGAAGCUAAUUGACGAAGCUCUGGAGCGUGUGCAGCUGAACGGACGCAUUCCCACGAGAGACCAGUACGCCGAUGUCUACCAGCAGCGCACUAUCAAGCUGUCCCAAAAAGUGCACGUGCCCAUCAAGGACAAGAAGUUCAACUAUGUUGGCAAGCUAUUGGGUCCCAAGGGCAACUCACUGCGCCGCCUACAGGAGGAGACGCAGUGCAAGAUCGUCAUACUUGGUCGCUUCUCAAUGAAGGAUCGCGACCGUGAGGAGGAGCUGCGCAACUCCGCGGACGCGAAGUACGCCCACCUGAAUCUUCCGCUACACGUCGAGGUGUCCACCAUUGCUCCGCCAGCUGAGGCGUACGCACGUGUGGCCUACGCCCUGGCAGAGAUUCGGCGGUAUCUCACGCCGGACAAGCACGAUGACAUCCGCCAAGAGCAGUACCGCGAACUCAUGGAGGAUCCGGAGGCGGCCAAGAAGCUGACGCUCCGCCAGCUGCAACAGCAAUCUAAUGCGGCAGCUGGUGGUGCAGGAGGAGGAGGCGGUGGUGGAGGCGGAAACGGAAAUGGCGGAGCAGCUGGAUCCGGCAGCAACAAUGGCAAUGGGAACCAGCGCUCCGGCGGCAACUACAGACAAAAGUUUCAACAACAAUCACACUAUCGCCACAACGAGGAGACUGUCUAUUUUCGCUCACACAACAAUGCGUACCACCAGCCAAAACCCUAUGUGCCAGCCGCCCAGCGGGGCAAUGCCAUGCACACCACCUUGCCACCGCAAGCGAUCGUGCGCGCCUCACCGCCCGGAAUGGUCGUCAGUGCAGCCAGCUUCAAUGGUCGAAAUGCCGGGCUGGGUAAUGCUGGCGGUGGCGGAAUCAUGGCCAAUAGCAUCGUGGCCACCACUGGCGGUGGCAUCGGUGGCGCUGUGCCACCCAAUAUGCGCUACCGUCCUGCUGCCCCCUAUCAGUUUGUCAAGAAAUAAUACAGAUGGGAGGAUGCACCGCCCGCUGCCGUUCGCUGUUUGUUCAACUAUUCCUCACCAUCAUUGAUGCCUCAUCCGGAAGUAUUCACGCCCAUCUGUCAUACCCAUCCAAACACCCACAACCACACACAGCUCCAAAGAUUUCGGCAGGGUGGAAACCAAAACGAAACGAAUGAGUAAAUCUAUGUUUAAGAAAACUAGCUUAAGUAGACAAAUGCUCCGAGGAACAGACGAACACCUCAAGCACCCAACCAAAACCAAAACUAACCGACCAGACAAACACCCACCACCCCACACGCACGCAACGUCUCCUCGAGGAUUGGGUUUGUAGGAUCACGAGGGUCUGCGAUCUAAGACUUUGGAAUCCGUGUGUUGGGUCCUGCGAGCAUUUGGAAGAAUAGAAUUGAAGAAGGAAAAUAGAAAGAGGAGAAGGAGAAGAACGCCUCGAUGUUGGAUCGGGCCGAAACGGACACGAAAUGGACGCAUUCAGGGAUGGUCCCAGUCGAGCCAAAUGUCCUUGUUUUGUUUUGUCGCAUUUUAUUAACAUUUUUAUUUUACCUUUGACGCAUGCGAAGAUGUCAUCAAUUUCUAAUUUAUAUAAAUGAAUAUAUAUAUCUCCUUAUGUUUACUCUUAUACGUAUCCUUCCACGCAGUCGCUUAAUUUUAUUGCUUUUCCAACUCUGCGUUUAAGUUUAUCCCAUUUUUUGUUGUAAUGCGUUUUGUAUUAUGUUUACGUUUAGAAGAGGAGGCUUUUUAUUUUUAUUUGUUACGUCGCCAGGACAGAAAAACCAACUGCAAACGAUCAUGAAUAAUAUAUAACAAGUAUAUACAAGCGGUAUGAUUUAUAACACAUAGAGCAUAUGCAACACCACACGAACUUACGCGCGUACGCAUAUUUAAAGCAUCAGCAUAUUCACCUAAAGCCGUAAAGUUUAAACCAAAUGAACAUUAGAAACGCAAACGAGAAUCUACAACAUAGAUCGGAGCAGGAGGCCGAUUUCGCCUACGAUAAUGCAAAGGACAUAGCAAACCACAUCCGAUCAGAGAAAAUAUGCAAACACAUACAUACAUACAAACAUAAUUGUUAUUGUUGUUAAAAGCAACUAAAAUUGUAAUAGAAAUUAUGCAAAUAUACAUACGAAUAUGACGACAAAUGUUAA